rnacentral:rRNA from 1 species
UGGGGAAUUUUGGACAAUGGGCGCAAGCCUGAUCCAGCCAUACCGCGUGAGUGAAGAAGGCCUUCGGGUUGUAAAGCUCUUUCAGACGGAAAGAAACGGUUACGGCUAAUACCCGUGACUAAUGACGGUACCGUAAGAAGAAGCACCGGCUAACUACGUGCCAGCAGCCGCGGUAAUACGUAGGGUGCAAGCGUUGUUCGGAAUUAUUGGGCGUAAAGGGCAAGUAGGUGGUCUUGAAAGUCUACUGUGAAAUCCCUGAGCUUAACUCAGGAAGUGCGGUGGAUACUCCAAGACUAGAGUAUCGGAGGGGUUCGUGGAAUACCCGGUGUAGCGGUGAAAUGCGUAGAUAUCGGGUGGAACACCAGAGGCGAAGGCGGCGAACUGGACGAUUACUGACACUCAAUUGCGAAAGCGUGGGGAGCAAACAGGAUUAGAUACCCUCGUAGUCCCUGAGCGGGCUGGCAAGGCGCAU